GACGAACGCUGGCGGCGUGCCUAAUACAUGCAAGUUGAGCGCUGAAGGUUGGUACUUGUACCAACUGGAUGAGCAGCGAACGGGUGAGUAACGCGUGGGGAAUCUGCCUUUGAGCGGGGGACAACAUUUGGAAACGAAUGCUAAUACCGCAUAAAAACUUUAAACACAAGUUUUAAGUUUGAAAGAUGCAAUUGCAUCACUCAAAGAUGAUCCCGCGUUGUAUUAGCUAGUUGGUGAGGUAAAGGCUCACCAAGGCGAUGAUACAUAGCCGACCUGAGAGGGUGAUCGGCCACAUUGGGACUGAGACACGGCCCAAACUCCUACGGGAGGCAGCAGUAGGGAAUCUUCGGCAAUGGACGAAAGUCUGACCGAGCAACGCCGCGUGAGUGAAGAAGGUUUUCGGAUCGUAAAACUCUGUUGGUAGGGAAGAACGUUGGUGGGAGUGGAAAGCUCAUCAAGUGACGGUAACUACCCAGAAAGGGACGGCUAACUACGUG
rnacentral:rRNA from 1 species